rnacentral:rRNA from 2 species
GCUGUCACUUACAGAUGGACCCGCGGCGCAUUAGCUAGUUGGUGAGGUAACGGCUCACCAAGGCAACGAUGCGUAGCCGACCUGAGAGGGUGAUCGGCCACACUGGGACUGAGACACGGCCCAGACUCCUACGGGAGGCAGCAGUAGGGAAUCUUCCGCAAUGGACGAAAGUCUGACGGAGCAACGCCGCGUGAACGAUGAAGGCCUUCGGGUCGUAAAGUUCUGUUGUUAGGGAAGAACAAGUACCAGAGUAACUGCUGGUACCUUGACGGUACCUAACCAGAAAGCCACGGCUAACUACGUGCCAGCAGCCGCGGUAAUACGUAGGUGGCAAGCGUUGUCCGGAAUUAUUGGGCGUAAAGCGCGCGCAGGCGGUUUCUUAAGUCUGAUGUGAAAGCCCACGGCUCAACCGUGGAGGGUCAUUGGAAACUGGGGAACUUGAGUGCAGAAGAGGAGAGUGGAAUUCCACGUGUAGCGGUGAAAUGCGUAGAGAUGUGGAGGAACACCAGUGGCGAAGGCGACUCUCUGGUCUGUAACUGACGCUGAGGCGCGAAAGCGUGGGGAGCGAACAGGAUUAGAUACCCUGGUAGUCCACGCCGU